rnacentral:sRNA from 1 species
GAGGAAUUCAAAACGGAAGAAUCUUUUUAGUGUCAGUGACUAGAAUAUGUGCUGGCAAAACAAUGGAGAGUACCUUGCUGUAAAGGUUGAUCGUUAAGCCAAAAGCAAGAAAAACUCAUCUACUGGCUUUGAGCUUUUUGUGUUAGAGAGAGAUAGAAGUGUUGGAGAUAGAGAAUGAAGAUGACAAAAUCAUUGCAAAAGGGCAUAAGUUUGAACUUUACCACGUUGAUGAGCUUCAAACUAUGGUAACAACUGAGCAUUUUAUGGCUACGAAUGUUGAAUGUGGCUGACGAGACCACCACCACCUCUGAAUCCUGAGAAAGAACUUGAAGAGAAGAAUGAGAUAGAUGAGUGGAUGAAUGGAAGAUAUUUCAUGAAGAAGAGAAGUUACAGACACAAGCUUAUGGACGAAGAAGUUGAAAAAAUGGUUGAUGUGGGGAAGGUUGUUUCAACAUAGCAGGACAAUGGUGUCAAGGCAAAAAAAGUCUUAAACCGGAGACAUAAACAGAGUUAUUUACUGUAAUUGAAUACCUCCUAGCUCUCUGCCUUAGACUUUCAGAAAAAUCGGCGUCCAAAUAUUGAGAUUGUUCUUCAACUAUCGCUUUUCCUCUUCAUGAGGUAACAAUUGACAACUUGCUUUCAAUUUCAUUCCUUUCAUAUUCAAAAAUACCAAUUGUCCUUAUUAUUAUUAAAA